GGGCGUGUGGCGCAGUUGGGAGCGCGCCUCGAUGGCAUCGAGGAGGUCGCGGGUUCGAAUCCCGCCACGUCCACCA
rnacentral:tRNA from 1 species